AAGCGUUGAAGCAUAGCAGCGCACCGGAAUGCCUUGUUAUGUCAAGCUUUCAAGAAGGGUUGUGCAGUGGAACCUCAAACCGGAGUAGGUCUUAUCCGAAAGAAAAUGCUCAUU
ncrna:unclassified sequences drum RNA